rnacentral:tRNA from 1 species
GGAUAGCUCAGUCAGUAAAGCAUGAGACUCUUAAUCUCAGAGACAUGGGUUCAAGUCCCAUGUUGGGCA